UACGUAGGGACCGAGCGUUGUCCGGAAUCAUUGGGCGUAAAGAGCUCGUAGGCGGACUGUCACGUCCGCUGUGAAAAGCUAGGGCUUAACCCUGGCCUUGCAGUGGAUACGGGCAGACUAGAGGUAGGUAGGGGAGAAUGGAAUUCCCGGUGUAGCGGUGAAAUGCGCAGAUAUCGGGAGGAACACCGGUGGCGAAGGCGGUUCUCUGGGCCUUACCUGACGCUGAGGAGCGAAAGCGUGGGGAGCGAACAGG
rnacentral:rRNA from 1 species